UACGGAGGGUGCAAGCGUUAUCCGGAUUUACUGGGUUUAAAGGGUGCGUAGGCGGGUCUGUAAGUCCGUGGUGAAAUCUUCGAGCUUAACUCGGAAACUGCCAUUGAUACUAUAGGUCUUGAAUCAUCUGGAGGUGAGCGGAAUAUGUCAUGUAGCGGUGAAAUGCUUAGAUAUGACAUAGAACACCGAUUGCGAAGGCAGCUCACUACGGAUGUAUUGACACUGAGGCACGAAAGCGUGGGGAUCAAACAGG
rnacentral:rRNA from 1 species